ensembl:lncRNA
GUGCUGAAGAUGGCGGCGACUGCAGACGAGAUUUUAGUUUGCUCUGAGUAACCUUACAUUUAAGUAAGUUUGAGAGGGAUACAAGUUAACAGAACUUGGCUUAUAGUAAACACAAUAGAGAACAACGCUUAGUUGACCGCUAAUUUGAUCUGAAACUUUGAGAAAUGGAAGAAAGAAAUGUGCGAAAGAGCAAAGGGAGGAGAAGGCAGUUGCUAGCUGAGCACUCAUACAUUGGAGAAAAACUGCCACCUGACUCCUCAGGAGAAAAAAAUGGAGGAAUCUGGACAUUCGGUUGAUUCUGAAAAUCAAGUCAAUAGUCCCGCACCCCAAAAGACACAGAAAUAAUUGUCUUUGCGCGAACUACAGGUCAACAUAAAUAGAUGCUGUCUCUGCAAAGAUAAACGAAAGAGCCGAUGGUCUAGAAAAUGAUACGCGAAAACAUCAAAUCGUUGACCUCGAGGCCACUCUGAAUCAUGCAUACAAGAGUAUCGAAUAGCUUAAACUUGCAAACACUGCUAGUUCCGAGAAAAGCACUGCACAGGAGAAGAACAUCGCAGACAUGCAAGAGCGCUUAUCGGAAGCAGAGCGAUACCGGAGAAGGUGGGGGCUACGGCUUUACAGUGUCCCCGAGAACCAGGAUGAGAAUGUGACUUCCCGGAUGGAUAUGGCUGUGAAUGUCGCUCAUCGUAUUGGGAAGAAGCAAGAUGCCAUCGUCAGCCGCUCGAUCAUCAUCAUCCAGUUUGCUUUUCGCACAGCGAGAGAUGCAGUUUGGAAGAAAGCAAAGGAAAGCACCUUUCAGAAAGAGCGAAAAUGUAGAUCCGGUGAGGACUUGACUGCAGCAGACAAGGCAGCAAAGGCAAAAUUGUGGCCUCUUGUACAACAGGUCCGAAAUCAAGGAAAGGGUGGAUACUACAGGGGAAUCAGAGCCUUUUUCGCAGACAGAAAAGAUAUACGACCGGGGUGAUUUGUUCUGUCGGUAGGUUUACCAGUGAUAGCGACUCCGACUGGGAGCCCCCGGUGCCAAGCUGCCCACUCUACCUCUGCCCCCUUUACUCCUGCCUCCAGUGGUGUUCAUAUGCCACAGUUCAUUACUGCAGGCAUGACUGUGCCUCAGGGCCAAAAGGGCACAGCAUGGAGGCGUUGUUGUGUUCUGUGUCGCAUGAAGUCCCCCAUCACCUUUACCACUUGUUCAGUUUUCCUCUGCUUUACAUCAGAAAGAGACUGCAAUGGAACAUGGCACAGGCAGCAAAAUAUUGUGUAGAGGACUUCCAAAUGGUCUACCCCUGUUUAAAAAAAAUAAAAAUAAAAUGAUAUAUUUUUUUUGUGUGUUAGAAUUGCUUUUUGAUAUGUUGUACAUAGUUAUUUGCACUGUUGUAUAUAGUUAGAUCAUUUCACCAAUUCGGCCACUUGGGUACAUUUGGGCAACUUGUGUGGGACACCUGGGUGACUUUAUGCUAAAUGUCAUGUAGCUCAUCCAUUCCUGAAGUUAUCAGUCUGAAACUUUGCCCUCUUGUGUUAUCCAUCAAAAUGAUCUCCAGCAUCCUAUCUGACUGUGUGGCUAUUCUAGUACAUGUGAAAUAUGAUGCUACAACAAUAACAGAAAACGUAUGCUCUUUCUCUUUUCUUUCACCAGAUCUACUGUAUUAUAUUCUCCUACAUUCAAUUAACAUUUCCACAAACUUCAGAAUGUUUCCAUCCAAAUGAUACCAAGAAUAUGCAUAUACUUGCCUCUGGGGCUGAGCUACAGACAGUUAGAUUAGGGUAUGUCUUCAGGCGGAAAUUGAGAACAAGGGAUGCAGCCAUAACAGGUUUUUUACUACAAUGUCCAUAUAUUGUAGCUGACGGCUUUUCACAAGCAGGCUUUAAUGUGCUGGGCUUUGUUGUAUAAACACAACUUUUCACCUGAAAUAUUUUAUAUGGAACAAUGGGUCGAUAUUACAUAGAAACAAUAUGUUAUUUAAUCAUAAAUGGUUCUCGAAAAACACUGUCCUUGUCAGCCAAUUAGUUAAUAUUAGUGAGAAUCUAUUUACACGGAGAGAAUUUAUGGAAAGAUACAACUUUGAGGUUUCAAGCAAGGAAUAUGGCACUUAUUAAAGCUAUACCUAGUGGGAUAAAAACUUUACUUCAGAAUAAUGCAUAUUUUGGAAUAUCUCCGAUUGUAAGCGAUAUCCAGGUGAAUGGCAUAUGUCUACUAGAUAUGAAAUUCAACAAUCGUUUAUCAAGGGAUAUUUUCUACAGGAAGCCUAUUCCCUCUGCAAUAUUUUGUUGGGCUUCAUCGUUUGAUGUAAACUGGUGCCGUGCUUGGCUCACUCCACACAAAUUUAUAUUGACCAAUAAAGUAAAGGAGAUCUCCUUUAAGAUUAUCCAUAGAUUCUAUUCGUGUAAUAGCUUGAUUUCUAAAUAUAUACCUGAUGUUACCAAUGAAUGCAGUUUUUGUGAACUAGUAACUGAAUCUAUUCUGUCAUUGUUUAUAUAGUGAAGUGUUCUGGACUGAUGUAAAACUAUAUCUUGGCCUCAUAUUGCAUACAACCAUUGACAUUUCUAGGUUUGACAUAUUAUUUUACUACACUGGUUCCACAAUUGAACGUGAGUAUGUCAUAAAUCUAUUUUAUUAGGAAAGAAAUUCAUACACAAAUCAAAAUGUAUGAAGGAAAAGCCCCUUUUCUUAAUUUUUUGAUCCGAUUUGGAAAUCUUUUUAGUCAUUAAAACUUUAACAAACCAAAAUGUUUUUAAAAAUGUAUUCACUACAUAUCUGUAUUUGAAUUGAUAUCAUGUGGAUUAGUUUUAUUUUCUCUCAUUUCUUUGUGGAAUCAUCUCUGGCUGUUAUGUUUAGCAUAUUAAUGUUAAUACAAAUUAAUUAAAAAACACCACUCCCCUUACAGGAAAACUCCUGCG